rnacentral:tRNA from 1 species
GGGAAUGUGGCUUAGUGGUAGAGCACUUGCCCUGCAUGUAUGAAGCCCUGGGUUCAAUUCCUCAGUACCA